rnacentral:rRNA from 1 species
AUGUACGAGCAAAUUGACUGCCAUCGACAACUACCAAAGAUGGUUCUUUCUUAUCUCUGUUUCUCUUCCUCUUUUUUUCAACCUUUUGGUUUCUUGGAUGGAUGGAUGGAUUUAUCUCACCUCGGAUCACCUCCUCGAUUGGGAUUACCGGAAUGCUUGCUUCAAGAACCUGGAUUGGAGGAGAAACGGGGAUCUGACACGGCAGAGAGCUCCACUUCCUCGAACGGCAGCGCGAUGUUCAGAUCGAUCAUGCCAAAGGCUUUGAUCGGGUCCGGCGGAGCGGCGGCUGCAUGUGCCUGUGCUGCGGCGGCGGCCGCGGAGCAAACGUGGGACCUCUUGUGCCCACCAAGAGCUUGCCCGGAGGCGAACACGCGGUAG